CCUACGGGAGGCAGCAGUAAGGAAUAUUGGUCAAUGGACGCAAGUCUGAACCAGCCAUGCCGCGUGAAGGAUUAAGGUCCUCUGGAUUGUAAACUUCUUUUAUCUGGGACGAAAAAAGGCGAUUCUUCGUCACUUGACGGUACCAGAUGAAUAAGCACCGGCUAACUCCGUGCCAGCAGCCGCGGUAAUACGGAGGGUGCAAGCGUUAUCCGGAUUCACUGGGUUUAAAGGGUGCGUAGGCGGGCAGGUAAGUCAGUGGUGAAAUCCUAGAGCUUAACUCUAGAACUGCCAUUGAUACUAUCUGUCUUGAAUAUUGUGGAGGUAAGCGGAAUAUGUCAUGUAGCGGUGAAAUGCUUAGAUAUGACAUAGAACACCUAUUGCGAAGGCAGCUUACUACGCAUAUAUUGACGCUGAGGCACGAAAGCGUGGGGAUCAAACAGGAUUAGAUACCCUGGUAGUCCACGCCCUAAACGAUGAUUACUCGACAUUUGUGAUACACUAUAAGUGUCUGAGCGAAAGCAUUAAGUAAUCACCUUGGAAGUAGACCGCAAGGUUGAAACUUCAAAGGAAUUGAGGCGNGAGAGNGCGAGGACGACGACGAGGGAGGAGG
rnacentral:rRNA from 1 species